rnacentral:rRNA from 1 species
AGUGAACGCUGGCGGUAGGCCUAACACAUGCAAGUCGAACGGCAGCACCGUAAGAGCUUGCUCUUACGGGUGGCGAGUGGCGGACGGGUGAGUAAUCCAUCGGAAUCUACUUUUUCGUGGGGGAUAACGUAGGGAAACUUACGCUAAUCCCGCAUACGACCUACUGGUGAAAGCAGGGGAUCUUCGGACCUUGCUCGAUUGAAUGAGCCGAUGUCGGAUUAUCUAGUUGGCGGGUUAAAGGCCCACCAAGGCGACGAUCCGUAGCUGGUCUGAGAGGAUGAUCAGCCACACUGGAACUGAGACACGGUCCAGACUCCUACGGGAGGCAGCAGUGGGGAAUAUUGGACAAUGGGCGCAAGCCUGAUCCAGCCAUACCGCGUGGGUGAAGAAGGCCUUCGGGUUGUAAAGCCCUUUUGUUGGGAAAGAAAAGCAGCAGGUUAAUACCCCGCUGUUCUGACGGUACCCAAAGAAUAAGCACCGGCUAACUUCGUG